AGAUGACGUUGAAGGGAAUGCGCCACAUCUUACAACCACUGCAAACAAGAGCACGCAAUGAAUCAAACUCAGAAGCCCAGGCCGGGAUCAAACGGUAAGAUCUCACAGCUUCUGCCUGCGACUGCGAAGUGCCUACAUCACAGACGAAGGUGACCACAGAGUCAAAGUCAGAAUGUUGAAAACCAUCGUGGGAUUCCGAACUCCAAAGCAUACAGAGGCAGUCUAGCGUGUGAAAAAGAUGCAGCGUUUCUUAGAGGCUACGUUCCCGAAUGGAUGAAGAUUACUCGGGGUUCACAAAACUGCGCCCACUGACUUUUAAAUAAAUCAUAAACACUUUUGCGCUCUUAGAAAAAGA